rnacentral:piRNA from 1 species
UCUUAGAUUGUUAUUUGUAAACAGUUGCAUC